CCCUUAGAUGUUCUGGGCCGCACGCGCGCUACACUGGUACGUUCAACAAGUUUACAACCUUGACCGAAAGGUCUGGGUAAUCUUUUAAAUGCGUACCGUGCUAGGGAUAGAUUAUUGCAAUUAUUAAUCUUGAACGAGGAAUUCCUAGUAAACGCAAGUCAUCAGCUUGCAUUGAUUACGUCCCUGCCCUUUGUACACACCGCCCGUCGCACCUACUGAUUGAAUGACUCGGUGAAAAAUCGGGACUGCGAGAACAAUCGAUUAAUUUCGAAUGUACUUGUGGGAACUUUUUUUAACCUCGCCAUUUAGAAGAAGGUGAAGUCGUAACA
rnacentral:rRNA from 1 species